AGAUUAAGUUAUUAAGGGCGCACGGUGGAUGCCUUGGCACUAGAAGCCGACGAAGGACGUUACUAACGACGAUAUGCUUUGGGGAGCUGUAAGUAAGCUUUGAUCCAGAGAUUUCCGAAUGGGGAAACCCAGCACGAGUUAUGUUGUUAUCGAUAUGUGAAUACAUAGCAUAUCUGAAGGCAGACGCGGAGAACUGAAACAUCUUAGUACCCGCAGGAAGAGAAAGAAAAAUCGAUUCCCUGAGUAGCGGCGAGCGAAACGGGAAGAGCCCAAACCAACGAGCUUGCUUGUUGGGGUUGUAGGACACUCUAUACGGAGUUACAAAAGAACAGACUAGACGAAUCAUCUGGAAAGAUGAAUCAAAGAAGGUAAUAAUCCUGUAGUCGAAAGUUUGUUCACUCUUGAGUGGAUCCUGAGUACGACGAAACACGAGAAAUUCCGUCGGAAUCUGGGAGGACCAUCUCCCAAGGCUAAAUACUCUCUAGUGACCGAUAGUGAACCAGUACCGUGAGGGAAAGGUGAAAAGUACCCCGGAAGGGGAGUGAAAUAGAACUUGAAACCGUGUGCUUACAAGUAGUCAGAGCCCGUUAAUGGGUGAUGGCGUGCCUUUUGUAGAAUGAACCGGCGAGUUACGAUUUGAUGCAAGGUUAAGCAGUGAAUGUGGAGCCGUAGCGAAAGCGAGUCUGAAUAGGGCGUUGAGUAUUUGGUCGUAGACCCGAAACCAGGUGAUCUACCCAUGACCAGGUUGAAGUUCAGGUAACACUGAAUGGAGGACCGAACCGACUUACGUUGAAAAGUGAGCGGAUGAGUUGUGGGUAGCGGAGAAAUUCCAAUCGAACCUGGAGAUAGCUGGUUCUCUCCGAAAUAGCUUUAGGGCUAGCCUCAAGUGAUGAUUAUUGGAGGUAGAGCACUGUUUGGACGAGGGGCCCUUAUCGGGUUACCGAAUUCAGACAAACUCCGAAUGCCAAUCAAUUUAACUUGGGAGUCAGAACGCGGGUGAUAAGGUCCGUGUUCGAAAGGGAAACAGCCCAGACCACCAGCUAAGGUCCCAAAAUAUAUGUUAAGUGGAAAAGGAUGUGGCGUUGCCCAGACAACUAGGAUGUUGGCUUAGAAGCAGCCAUCAUUUAAAGAGUGCGUAAUAGCUCACUAGUCGAGUGACACUGCGCCGAAAAUGUACCGGGGCUAAACAUAUUACCGAAGCUGUGGAUUGUCCGUAAGGACAAUGGUAGGAGAGCGUUCUAAGGGCGUUGAAGCAUGAUCGCAAGGACAUGUGGAGCGCUUAGAAGUGAGAAUGCCGGUGUGAGUAGCGAAAGACGGGUGAGAAUCCCGUCCACCGAUUGACUAAGGUUUCCAGAGGAAGGCUCGUCCGCUCUGGGUUAGUCGGGUCCUAAGCUGAGGCCGAUAGGCGUAGGCGAUGGAUAACAGGUUGAUAUUCCUGUACCACCAUUAUUCGUUUUAAGCGAUGGGGGGACGCAGUAGGAUAGGCGAAGCGUACGAUUGGAUUGUACGUCCAAGCAGUGAGAUUGAGUGUUAGGCAAAUCCGGCACUCUUAAGAUUGAGCUGUGAUGGGGAGAGGAAAUUGUUUCCUCGAGUCGUUGAUUUCACACUGCCAAGAAAAGCCUCUAGCUAGAAUUGUGGUGCCCGUACCGCAAACCGACACAGGUAGUCAAGAUGAGAAUUCUAAGGUGAGCGAGCGAACUCUCGUUAAGGAACUCGGCAAAAUGACCCCGUAACUUCGGGAGAAGGGGUGCUCUUUAGGGUUAACGCCCAGGAGAGCCGCAGUGAAUAGGCCCAAGCGACUGUUUAUCAAAAACACAGGUCUCUGCUAAACCGUAAGGUGAUGUAUAGGGGCUGACGCCUGCCCGGUGCUGGAAGGUUAAGAGGAGUGGUUAGCUUCUGCGAAGCUACGAAUCGAAGCCCCAGUAAACGGCGGCCGUAACUAUAACGGUCCUAAGGUAGCGAAAUUCCUUGUCGGGUAAGUUCCGACCCGCACGAAAGGCGUAACGAUUUGGGCACUGUCUCAACGAGAGACUCGGUGAAAUCAUAGUACCUGUGAAGAUGCAGGUUACCCGCGACAGGACGGAAAGACCCCGUGGAGCUUUACUGUAGUCUGAUAUUGAAAUUCGGCACAGCUUGUACAGGAUAGGUAGGAGCCUGAGAUACGUGAGCGCUAGCUUACGUGGAGGCGUUGGUGGGAUACUACCCUCGCUGUGUUGGAUUUCUAACCCGCACCAUUUAUCAUGGUGGGAGACAGUGUCAGAUGGGCAGUUUGACUGGGGCGGUCGCCUCCUAAAGAGUAACGGAGGCGCUCAAAGGUUUCCUCAGAAUGGUUGGAAAUCAUUCAUAGAGUGUAAAGGCAUAAGGAAGCUUGACUGCGAGACUUACAAGUCGAGCAGGGUCGAAAGACGGACUUAGUGAUCCGGUGGUUCCGCAUGGAAGGGCCAUCGCUCAACGGAUAAAAGCUACCCCGGGGAUAACAGGCUUAUCUCCCCCAAGAGUUCACAUCGACGGGGAGGUUUGGCACCUCGAUGUCGGCUCAUCGCAUCCUGGGGCUGUAGUCGGUCCCAAGGGUUGGGCUGUUCGCCCAUUAAAGCGGUACGCGAGCUGGGUUCAGAACGUCGUGAGACAGUUCGGUCCCUAUCCGUCGUGGGCGUAGGAAAUUUGAGAGGAGCUGUCCUUAGUACGAGAGGACCGGGAUGGACAUACCUCUGGUGUACCAGUUGUCGUGCCAACGGCAUCGCUGGGUAGCUAUGUAUGGACGGGAUAAGUGCUGAAAGCAUCUAAGCAUGAAGCCCCCCUCAAGAUGAGAUUUCCCAACUUCGGUUAUAAGAUCCCUCAAAGAUGAUGAGGUUAAUAGGUUCGAGGUGGAAGCAUAGCGAUAUGUGCAGCUGACGAAUACUAAUCGAUCGAAGACUUAAUCAAAUUUUA
rnacentral:rRNA from 1 species